GAUGAAGAACGUAGCGAAAUGCGAUACUUGGUGUGAAUUGCAGAAUCCCGUGAACCAUCGAGUCUUUGAACGCAAGUUGCGCCUCAAGCCAUUAGGUUAAGGGCACGUCUGCCUGGGCGUCACAUAUCGUUGCCUGAUGCCAGUUUCCUCGUGAUGGGUGACUGUGCAGGGCGAAUGAUGGCUUCCCGUGAGCAUUGUUGCCUCAUGGUUGGUUGAAAAUUGAGUCCUUGGUAGGGAGCGCCGUGAUAGAUGGUGGUUGAGUGACGAACGAGACCCAAUCAUGUGAGACCCCUACCGAAUUUGGCCUUCAUGACCCACAUGCGUCUUUGGAACGCUCAUGACGAGACCUCAGGUCAGGCGGGGCUACCCGCUGAGUUUAAGCAUAUCAAUAAGCGGAGGA
rnacentral:misc_RNA from 1 species